GCUCUGCAACACUGCCACUAGGAUUAAUAUUAGGAGAAGUGGCAGACAUUUCCUGUCAAGUUUAUUGAUGCUAAGAAAAUAUAGUCUGAAAAGAGCAAGAAAACAAAAACACUGUAGUUGUGAGAGAGAACUAAUGAGUGACAGAGAGUGGAGUUAAAAGAAAUAAACAGAUAACCAUAAAACACUCACAGACUGUCAAUACUAGAGCUGGCUGACUCUGUCUGUCUCUGCCCCUUGUGGCAUGUCUUCAUUAACAAACAUAAGAAUCAUGCAGCAUUAAAGCACAAGAACCACUAGAAUGACUGUGAUAUUGUUUUGUAAUGUGCAAAAGUUGCAUCCCAAACAAAGGUGCAAUUUGUAAUACAUUACUGGUCUAUUUGACUAAUCUCAGUGGUUCUCCAGGUAUAGUUGAAACACAAACAGUUAAAAAGGGACUUUUAUUUCCUUAUUAAGUUCCUUAGUUUAUUUUCUCGCGCACCGUAUUACCUUCAUCAGAGAGGGGCUUUCAAGGUUUUUCUUUUGGAUCCAAUUAAACAGCAUGGGCUUCCAUCCUUUUUAGUGCACAACUGUAAUGCCUUGUCUUGUUUAUUUAUUUCCUUAUUUAUUUGUUUACUUAACAGGUGUAUCAUUUUCAUAUACUUACUUAAUGAUUUCAAAGAAAUCUCCUGGAAAGAAAUAUAUAGUUUGGUACUAAUCAGGGUCGGAGUGGGAAUAAAAAUUGGCCAAGGGCAUUUGACUGGGACUGGCCCACCGAAACCUAUAUGAAGACACAGGAUCACAUACAGCCCAUGUCCCACUCUACGAGAUUCAUGUAGUAAACAGAGGUUAAAUUAACUAUGAUGUAUGUAACACCAUACAUAAAAUGCAUGUACAUGCAUUGCCUAAUUGUCUAACAGUCUAAUUGUUGUUUACAUAAUUCAAUUACAGAUUCUUUGAAGAUUUUAUUACUGUAGUUUGUGUAGAAAAAACAGUAUCAGAAACACCUUUUGAAAUGAUUGUCUACAACUAUAACAACAAAGUAGCUACAGUCUCAAAAAUUACCAUAUAACUGAGUUGACACACUAACAAGGGUCAACAAAUACUGUAGCUAAGUAAUGUAGCUGGUAUUUACUGCUGCUCACUUUGCAUUGUAUUAAAUUGAAUUUGUAUUUUUCACGCUAAAUAAACUCAGGCAAGCUUCCUUUUGUCUUCUGCCUACCACUUAUGCUGUAAAACUUGAGUGGUGUUUGAACUGGACUCACUGGGAGCUAUGGUCCUGAAUCCACUCUGCCGCUCUGCUCCUCCUCUCUGUUGUCUGCAGAGGUACUGCUGCUGGAUGCACAACUCUUUGAAACAUUUGGAUUUUUCUGGAGUUUAACUUCUUUUCUAUGAGCUUUUCAACCACACCUUAAUGUUUUGUUAAACUUUAUUAUUCAUGUAAAAAGAUUCAGCAAAACUCCACUGCUGGCUGCCUCAAUGUUUAAACGAAGAUAUGUACACAUAAACGGGAAGCCGGUGGGUGGAGCCAAACCAAACUUAGUUAGCUGGAGAGGCAGGCAGAUGUGAGGGAGAUGACUGGCACACCACAGUGGGCCAUGCAGACUGCUCGACUGGGCUGAUAACUGCGACACGGCACUAUCUCUCUCCCUCUUGCUCUGUCUCACUCCCUCUCUUUCUCUCUUUCUGUUCGAUUUCUGUUGCCACCCAGGAAAAGUCUCGGUUCUUCCAAUGGCCAUUCCAACAUUGGUACUGAUUAUGGGUAAAAUACAGGAAAUCUAAAUAAUUGCAAAGAAUUGCCAACUUAACAUCGAAAGUCUUUUAGCCUGUAACAGCAGGUUGGUUGAACACUAAAGAGCAACUUGCAGGUUAAAUUUCUUCCAAAUGUUGUACUUAACGUUCCCUGGAAAAACAAAAUAAAUGCAGAAAUUCAGAUGGAAGUUUGAGCAAUGCCCUUAAAAACAUGUCAAAUUACAUGAGGCAGUCGGCUCCAUCCAUGGAGUCGACAUUUUUCCUAAUAACAAGAGGUGCAGUUUCUGGGCUUGGGCACGUUUUGUGAAUGUGAUGAAAAACUUUGUAGUGUAUGGCACUCAUUUUAGACAGGAGCAUCAUGUUCCCAGCGAUAAUUCAGGAUUUCAGGAUGGGAUUUUGAAGCCAGGACCAGGUGACACUGGUAGCUGCUGUGGUUCCUUCAGCACACACAGCUGCUUCACCAGUUCCACUGUCAGCAUCACCACCCAGUCAUAGGUCUGUCAGAGAUUCAGCUUGAUGAAAACGUGAACUGUGCACCGUAAGUCUUGUUUUCUAAUGUUUACUAACUUCCAAAUUAGUCAGCAUCAUGAUUUAAAUAUUGAGAAGCAAUGUGUGUAAAGUAUUUGUUUUUUCUAGGGCGACUAACUAUUCUGUAAAACCGACCAGCUGAUAAGGCAUAAUGGCUAACGUUAGCUAGCAUUAGUAUCCUAUUUUGUAAAACAUACCAUUUGAGGACGUAACCUCAGUUUGCUAAAAUUGAAAUUCUGAGGUCUAGUUAAAUAGCUCGGUGACUUGUUUGCACAUCUAUUGCAUUUGUUAUUUAGUUCCAUGUGGUGUUAUUGGGUUUGGGGAGAUACUGCAGGUCACAUGUGGACAGACGCACCUACAGCCAUUACUGCUGCAGGUGUUCUCUCCACUGGCUUCUCAGCCAAUCUCUAUGCUUUACUAUGGCUUGCAGUACAACCUCAAACCUGUAUAUCAUUCACCAGGUAGUGACAAUUUACUCUUAUAUCUAGUAUUAGUUGUACAUGUUUAUAUGGCAAAUAGAUGCACAGGCAAUGCUUCAGAGAAAAAAAUAAAUAAAACAUGUUGUUUCAGCCCAACACCCUUUUUCCAGUAUAAAAAGUAAAAACACAUGAACAAGAUGUUAUACAAAUCACACCUGAUAGUAAUCAUACAAUCAUGCCUUAUACUAAAAGUGUAUGUAAUAAAUGCACAACAAAAUAUGUGUUCUUGCAGGAUCAACAGUAGAAGUUAAACUGGAGAGUGUAGAUACCACAGCAGCACAGGUCACGGGUGUUUGGCAGAUAUUACCGCAGCAUCAGAUCUUAGCGAUAUUUCGCUUCUUCAUCCUCCACUUUAUACCAAAGCACAUUGGGUUCUUUUCCUUGGGAGGCACAGCAGGCUUCUCUUGGCAGCCCUGCAUUUCAACCAUAAUGGAAGGAGGUUAUAUGCCAUGCGGUUUGCUACCCAAGGUUCGACAAAGGUGGUGAUAGGUCUGACCUGUCGAGGAGAAGCCAUUGUAUGCCUUUGCAAUGACCCUGAUGGAGUCUCUGAGAGAGGGCUUACUCCAGGUCACCAAAGGUUCUACGCAAGAGCAGUGAAGUCUUAUCCUUCAGUGCACCCCCCUUCCCCUGCAGUUCCUGAGGCAGUUGACUUUUACCUCGCACAGCAUUCACAGUUUAAUACAGGACAUUAGUGUGAAACCUGCACAGAUGUUGUGGUUCCCAGUUUUCAGGAUAAAAUCUUUAAAAGUCAACAUAAAGUCCGAUCAGUUCUAUAAUUUGUAUUCAUAUUCACAUUUAUUUAUUUAUUUGUUAGGUAUCUCAAAACCUUUGUGAGAGAUUUUGAUCAAAUCUGGUAAACAAUUAGGCCAUGGGCCAAGGAUCGAGUGAACUUUCUUUUUCCUUGCAAUGUUGAGAAAAAAACAUUACAAGAAAAAAACAGAUAUAUUUUUGAGCGUUUUCAAUAUUUACUUUUUCUUAUUGUACUCAGUUAACAUUGGGCAUAUAUAUCAUGAAUGUAAUAUUACACACAGAUUGUAUUUAAAAAUUAUGUUUGUUAUAGUCUGGGGCUGCCUGGGGUGUCUGUUUGAUCUAUAUCUGAUCUUAAUUUACAUAAAAUGUUUUUAUACAAUAAGAAAAACUUUGUAAUUGUGAUUAAUUUUAUUGAUUGUAACCCAGAUGAGGCCUUUCAAAAUAUUUGUAAACUCCUCCUUCUAUUUAGCAAUGUUUGAAUACUUCUAACCUCUGCAAUUUGCAUUGGUAGUCAAU